AAUGUGGGCAAGAAACCUCUGCGUGCUGGUCCUGGAAUAGUUCCCUGCACACAUCAGAGAAGGAGACAUCCACGCUGCAGCUAUAAAGCAGGGGAACAGAACCAGUGUUAGGACCCUGCAGGGCUCUGGGCUUCCCAGCUCUUUUUCCUUGAAGUCAGUGAAAGAACUGGGAGGGGCUGAAACUCAGGCUCCCCUUAAACCUGGCUGCUUAGCCUGUCUCCUGGGCAGAUGUUACAACUUUCUGCCUUCUCCUCCAGUCUGUUCAGGAGGGAACUUUCUCUUUUCCCCUCUGGCUCUGCUCUCAUCACUUGGUUUGCAGUCUGAGCAAAGCUAAGGAGGGAGCUUCCAGAGCUCUUUGUCCAGUUUUGAAAAACUUCAGGGAUUCUUGAGGGAGCUAAUUUGGAAGAAGCGGAAAGGAAAAACAAAAGAAAACAAAGGGAGGAAGAAAGGAGAAUAAUGGUGAUCUGGUCUUGCCAAGAAAUCUUUUCAGUGCAAACUGUGAAGAAGGGAGAACCUGGCUCAUCACCGUGGGGUGAGGAAGAGGACUUAGCAGCUGUGGACUUGAACUUUGGUUCCAUCUUCCACUGGAGUUUACAUAAAAAGAACAUCUUCUGCUGAGGCAGGGCUCAGUGAGCCAUUUGGCUAGCCCGGCGUUCAAACAGCUGAAUGGGACAAGAAUCCAGCUUGGUCUCUAGCCGGGUUUUUGGGUGGUUGUAUUAAAAACGAGACAUUGCAGCACUUUUGGAAACUUAAUAACAUCACAGAGGAAAUUAACUUUAUGGUGCAUGUGUCUUUGACUGUAUCAGCUUGAAGAUUAUUUUCUUUUUACUGAAAACAGCGCUACAGCACGGGUGGAUUUAAUUGCUUUUAUUUAUUUUUUUUUAAAGAGAGAGAGAGAGUUGUUUCUAUAAAACUUGCCAAAGGAAUUUGAAAGAACAAACCCUAGGGUGGGAGGGUAGGUUGUGAUUUUUUUUGGAGGAGGAAGAGAUCUCCUAUUCCUCUUUCUCAGUGGAAGAUGCUUGGACAAUAGCCUCCCUUAGAAGUCUGAAUGCUUGGUCCAGCAUGGCUGUUUAUGCUCUCACAGGUUUCUCGCUGGUCAGCCUGCUUAGUUUUGGCUACUUGUCCUGGGAUUGGAUGAAACCCAGCUUGGUAACGGAUGUUUCCAUGGACCCAAUGGAGAAAUCGCUCCCUCCUGCCUUUUCCAAGCCACCUCACAUCAUCUUCAUUCUGACUGAUGACCAGGGGUACCAUGAUAUUGGGUACCAUGACUCAGACAUACAGACACCAAUGCUAGACAGGCUAGCAGCAGAAGGAGUUAAACUGGAGAAUUAUUACAUCCAGCCCAUCUGUACCCCAUCCAGGAGCCAACUUAUAACGGGCAGGUACCAGAUCCACACGGGCCUUCAGCACUCCAUCAUCCGGCCCCGGCAGCCCAACUGCCUGCCCCUGGAUCAGGUCACGCUGCCCCAAAAGCUGCAGGAAGCCGGCUACUCGACGCACAUGGUGGGCAAGUGGCACCUUGGCUUCUACAAAAAGGAAUGCCUGCCCACCCGGCGAGGCUUCGACACCUUUCUGGGCUCCCUGACGGGCAACGUGGAUUACUACACCUACGACAACUGCGACGGACCCGGCGUCUGCGGCUACGACCUGCACGAAGGGGAGAACGUAGCGUGGGACCAGAGUGGGAAGUACUCCACCUUCCUCUAUGCUCAGCGAGUGAGCAAGAUCCUAGCCACCCAUAACCCCAAGGAGCCCAUCUUUAUCUAUGUGGCGUUCCAAGCCGUGCACACGCCCCUGCAGUCCCCCAAAGAGUACAUCUACCGCUACCGCUCCAUGGGCAAUGUGGCUCGGCGCAAAUACGCCGCGAUGGUGACGUGUAUGGAUGAGGCCGUGAGGAACAUCACCUGGGCACUCAAGAAGUACGGUUACUAUGACAACAGCGUGAUCGUGUUCUCCACGGACAACGGCGGGCAGACGUUUUCCGGGGGAAGCAACUGGCCUCUGCGAGGCCGCAAAGGGACCUACUGGGAAGGUGGGGUCCGUGGCAUUGGCUUUGUCCACAGCCCCCUGAUCAAACGCAAGCGCAGGACCAGCUGGGCACUGGUCCACAUCACAGACUGGUACCCUACGCUGGUGACCCUGGCUGGGGGCAACGUGUCUGAAGCCGAGGGCCUGGAUGGGUACAACGUGUGGCCAGCCAUCAGUGAGGGCAAGGAGUCCCCGCGCACCGAAAUCCUACACAAUAUCGACCCCCUCUACAACCACGCCAAGCACGGCUCCCUGGCGGGUGGCUUUGGCAUAUGGAACACAGCUGUGCAGGCCUCCAUACGGGUGAGGGAUUGGAAACUGCUGACUGGUGACCCCGGCUACAGCGACUGGAUCCCACCUCAGAUGCUGACCAACUUCCCAGGGAGUUGGUGGAACCUGGAGCGGCUGACGGACAGCGUGCGCAAAUCCGUCUGGCUUUUCAACAUCACGGCCGACCCCUACGAGCGCGACGACUUGUCGGACCAGCGCCCGGACGUGGUCAGGGCUCUCUUGAAGAGGCUGGUCCAUUACAACCGGACUGCAAUCCCGGUUAGGUACCCGGCCGAGAACCCCCGGGCCCACCCGGACUUCAACGGUGGUGCCUGGGGGCCGUGGGCCAGCGAGGAGGAAGCGGAGAAUUGGGAGGGAGGUGGCGGGCCACUGAGAAAUAAAAACAAGAAGAAGAAGUGCAAGAUCUGCAAGCUGCGCUCCUUUUUCCGGAAGCUGAACACCAGGCUGAUGUCAAACCGCAUCUGAUGGGGCUGCCGCAGAGCUCCGGGUGCAGCUGCUCGAGGUGGGUGUUCCAAAUGGCCAGGACAAUGGGAGGGAGAGAGGCAGAUGGUCACAGAGACAGCAGCGCCUUCUCACUUUCCCUUGCACCAUUGGACACAUGCACAGGGCCAACCACGCACAAAAGCCUCCAGAUGUCUUUCCCUCUGGUCUCCCCCAAAUUGAGCAACCUGUCCAGGUUAGGGUGGCCGAGGGAGAGUGACGGGGGUCCUCCAAUCCUGUUUAGUGGACGUUACAGCUGUCGCAGGUUGUCGAGCUGUCCAGCCCGUUCCAGUGCAAAAGAAUGAAACUUGUCUUAAGCGAUCAACUCAGGGACCAGUUCAAACGCACCAUCCUGGGAACAAAGCUUUAAACGCAGGUCAAACCCACGGUACUUGAAGGUGCAUGGGGAUGUUCUCGUGUGGUUCAUAUGAGGACGGCUGGCCUGCUGAAGGCUGCUCUCAGGUUGUCCGUCACUAUAAAAUGUGCUGUCACCCGAUGGAACCCUAGUGAGUGUGCCACAUCAUGUGCCCCUGCUCUGGGAAAACAGCCUGUCAGUCCUCACUCAGCCCCGGCCACAGCUUUUUCCCCCUGAAGACUUUACGGCAGGUGGUAGUGCGGAGAAGGCGAGGUGACUUAUUUUUAUGUCGAAGGUCCCUGGCUCAGAGACCAGGCAGAGCCUGGGACAGCAAGAGAAUACUAUCUCUAAUGGACACAAAGGCAAACAGACUGUACAUGGGCCUGGAUCAGCGUGGCCCUGCAGUGUAUUGGAGACACGUUUGCACUGAGAACUUGUGGGGCGUUAGCUGUUUCAAUAUAAAGCAACCCCAGUUUACACUCAUCUAUCGUACAGACGCAUGCAUGUACCACACACGUGGACACAUAUGUGUGGAUUCACUUACACCCCCCGCCCCCAACCACAAUGGGUUCGAAAGAAGGCAGCUCCCUGAUUCUCAGCUCCCAGGGGUGUCCUCUGCCAGAUAGCCACCCCCCACCCCCACCUUUGCAGGGACAGCGACACAGCAGAACAGCUUGCCUCAUGGCCUUGCUGCCAUUUUGAUGCCAACUCUGGAACAGAGGACCGGGUCUCUCGGACACUUGCUCUGCACGGUCUGUUUGAGGGUGUGCAUGGGUUCCCCACAAGAGGAUCCACAAGGAGCUGGUGGUAAAUGCAGUGCAGCUUGGCGAUGGGGAUGUAAGGAGGGAUCGGUCUGUAGUAACACCUUGCUGGGCUGCAAACCGCAGACGUCUCUUUUGUUUGUUCCCAGAGCAGUUCCUUACUCAACACACUCCGAUGAUGUGUUUGCACCAAACAGGCACCCACUGCUUCCCUGGCUGCCGAGUGAGUCUCCAUCAUUGCUCGGUCCUGCCAGCAAGGAGGGGACACCAUACCACCCUCCUUCCCUGGGAAGUUAACUGAGGAGAUCAUCCGAGGCCAGUCCUCUCCGAGCGCGACUUGCCGGUCCUCCACUUCCGCUUCCUUCUACGGCUGACCUUUCUGUGGCAUGUGUGAGAGAGAGCGUGAGCCCGUGUGUGCCAUGGAUGGGGGCUGGCCAGGAAGAAAGAGGGUGCGAUGGGACAGGCCAGUGCAAACUGCUGGAGGACAGCUCGGCGGAAACAAAACAACCCACAAAAACCACUGGAAGAAAGGAGGGGUCUCAGCCUGAAAAGAUAGGCCGCUGGACUGCUUUGGCUGAUAGGUGAGGCCCUAAGGAGUGUGUGACACACUCCUUGUCACACUCCAUCUCCUUUCUAGCUCUAAGAAAGUCCGUGGGUGAGAUUUAGCUAAGCCCUCGCCCGAUCAACUUCUGCCUUGUCAAUAGUGGCCAUGAGGAGCUGCCCACACGCCGAGGAGAUCUGUUUGCACAGAUAUGCUGAGAUCACUCUCUUGUAAAGCUGCAGAAGCCAAAGUAUAUUUAAAACAUCGAGCCCUAGGAGCCGAGUGACAGCCAGGUUCCCACGGAGGAAGCCGGUCAGUGAGCAGCGUCUCGGCAGGCACCAGCUUUGGCACAGGAGAACUAGAGUGCUGGGAAGGGAGAGCUCAGCAUUACAGCAUCUGCCUCUUCUUGGCCAAGUCCCCACUCCCUAUCGUCGACGUUCCCGCCGAGACUCAGCAGUGCUGGGCUCCUUUUUGGCCUGGCUGUUCUCUCCGUCACUGAAGCGGAGAUUUGGAAGGCUGCAAAGAUGAGACUCGGGAGGCAACUGUCUCUAAGCACUGCUCCUUUCUCCUCCUCUUAUGCCCAAUAAAGGCCACUUGGUUGGCAAAUUGCAAGGAGGUUAGAGAGGACUUUGCAAAAUACAGGGUUGCAAAGCACAAUGGGCCUGUUUGUUCCUCAUGACAGUUACCCCCAGCAUUACCCAGGAUGCACUGCAGCAGCCAAGUCACUGAUUGGUCCUUAUCAUUAGUGGUGGUGAUGCUAUCGCUGUUGUUGGCCAUGUCUGGAAUUGCCAGUGUUGCUAGCAUCCUUUGUCUCCAGCUGGGCCCAGCCCCCUACCCCCCUGUCUCUUACUCCUUCUCCUCCAUUUUGUUCUAGGAUGCCGUCAGUUGAU